AACGAACGCUGGCGGCAGGCCUAACACAUGCAAGUCGAGCGGACCUUUCGGGGUCAGCGGCGGACGGGAGAGUAACGCGUGGGAAUAUGCCCUUCUCUACGGAAUAGUCCUGGGAAACUGGGGGUAGUACCGUAUACGCCCUUUGGGGGAAAGAUUUAUCGGGGAAGGAUUAGCCCGCGUUGGAUUAGGUAGUUGGUGGGGUAAUGGCCUACCAAGCCGACGAUCCAUAGCUGGUUUGAGAGGAUGAUCAGCCACACUGGGACUGAGACACGGCCCAGACUCCUACGGGAGGCAGCAGUGGGGAAUCUUAGACAAUGGGGGCAACCCUGAUCUAGCCAUGCCGCGUGAGUGAUGAAGGCCUUAGGGUUGUAAAGCUCUUUCAGCUGGGAAGAUAAUGACGGUACCAGCAGAAGAAGCCCAGGCUAACUCCGUG
rnacentral:rRNA from 1 species